UCCUCCACUGUCAUUAGAGCCUGCUUCUUCCAGAUUCCAGCACAUACUGAAGACCAGCUGAGACUCCAGCUUUGUAGACUGAACAACUAUUGGAUUCUUGGGCCUUCCAUUGGUGGACAGCCAUUGUUGAACUAGCUGGACCACAGCCUGUCCCCACAAAGAUCUGAAGUUGAUGUGCUUCUGUUACUUAUGCCGUAUCUGUCAUGAGUCAUCACGGUGUGGGAAGGAGACACACGUUUAAGAAGAGACUCACACCGGUGACUGAGGACGGGGCAAGCUGUUUACUCCCUCGUGUUCUACUUCCGACAUAGGCUGAAGACUAACAUCUCUCCAGGAAUCCUUCAGGCCUUUCAUCAACAAGGGAUGGAACAUUGUGGACUGAACAGCUACUGGAUUCUUGGCCUCUGCAGUAUGAGGCAGCCAUUGUUGGCCUACCUAUCUGGACCACAUUCUGGAAGCCAGUCAAUAAACUCUCUUUAAAUAUA